rnacentral:snRNA from 1 species
GGAUAUAGGGAUGCUCUGGUUAAGUGUGUGUCCCCUUCCUCCCCCACUGCUUUAUGUGCAGUCCUUCCAAAGCUGUACAUUUAGUCAAGAGGACAACCUUCCCUAGAGUAGGACCAGUCUUCUCUCAAGGCUAUAUGAGUAGCUGAGUUUCCCCUGCCAGAACUUCUAAACAAUUCCUCAAAAACAAUUCCAUUAGCUAGAGAGAUGGCUCAGGGUUAAGAGCAUUGCCAUGUGGGUGCUGGGAAUUGAACUGAUCC